GACGAACGCUGGCGGCGUGCUUAACACAUGCAAGUCGUACGGUAAGGCCCUUUCGGGGGUACACGAGUGGCGAACGGGUGAGUAACACGUGAGUAACCUGCCCACAACUUUGGGAUAACGCUAGGAAACUGGUGCUAAUACUGGAUAUGUGCUCCUGCUGCAUGGUGGGGGUUGGAAAGCUCCGGCGGUUGUGGAUGGACUCGCGGCCUAUCAGCUUGUUGGUGGGGUAGUGGCCUACCAAGGCGGCGACGGGUAGCCGGCCUGAGAGGGUGGACGGCCACAGUGGGAAUGAGAUAAGGCACAGAGUAAUACGGGAGGCAGAAGUGGGGAAUAUUGAACAAUGGGUGCAAGUCUUAUGCCGCGACGAGGAGGGGGGGAUGACUGUGUUAGGGUUGUAAAAGACUUACGACAGGGACGAAGCUUUUUGGGACGGUACAUAGAGAAGAAGCACAGGCUAACUACGUG
rnacentral:rRNA from 1 species